UACGUAGGGAGCAAGCGUUGUCCGGAAUCAUUGGGCGUAAAGCGCGCGUAGGUGGCUUCGUAAGUCCGUUGUGAAAGUCAAAGGCUCAACCUUUGAAAGCCGAUGGAUACUGUGAAGCUAGAGUACGGAAGAGGCGAGUGGAAUUCCUGGUGUAGCGGUGGUAUGCGCAGAUAUCAGGAGGAACACCAAUAGCGAAGGCAGCUCGCUGGGACGUUACUGACACUGAGGCGCGAAAGCGUGGGGAGCGAACAGG
rnacentral:rRNA from 1 species